rnacentral:rRNA from 1 species
UCGCUACUACCGAUUGAAUGGUUCAGUGAGGCCUUCGGAUCGGCGCUUGUCGCUGAAAAGUUGGACAAACUGCAUCAUUUAGAGGAAGUAAAAGUCGUAACAAGGUUU